UGUUGUGCAUGAGAAACUGCUGAAGGUUUCUGCACCUUCCAGUGUGCCUGGUGUGGUCAGCUCAGGCUGUUUAGAGCUUUGGGUGUAAGUGGGUCAUCACCCCAGGGUCUCCCUGACUUCAUUCUGGGAGAUGGACAAGGUAGAAGGGGACCUGAGCUUCACUUUCACUCCCUGACUUUGGAGCUACGUAUCCUCAGGUGGCUCCAGGUAGGCAAAGGAACAGCUUACAAGAUACGGACAAGAAUCACCACUCUACUUAAAAGAAGUGGGUUGGAACCACAGCUCCCAAAGGGAUCCUUCUAGAAUGGGAUGUUAAAUAUGCUGAUUUCCCGAAGACACCAGCAUUCAACUGGGUUUCCAUUACAGCCUUUCAAGUUCUGAGCCCCUACACUGAUUCUCUAACUUGGCUGUGUGCUAAUUGGAGGCCACAAUUUUGAAGGAGGAGGGAGAACAUUCGAUAUUGAAGACCCAAGUCAUGAUCAAGGCUGUCUGCUGAGGACACAUGUCACUUUACAGGAAGCCCUACUCUCAAAAUGCAGAUUGGCCAUGAUGCUCUCUCCUUGGCUAGGAGCCUCUCGUGACUGCUGGGAUGCACAAAAUAAGGUGGGAUUCCUUGUCACGGCAUUCGAGACAACUCAGGCUGAUUGACUUUAGUAGGCUAGCACAUGGUAAAAAAAAUCACUGACCAACAAAUGAUACUGAUCAACAAACUGGAUAUCUACAUGCAGCAGAAUAAAGUUGAAGACUUACCUUAUACCAUAUGCAAAAGUCAACUCUACGUGGAUUAAAAACUAAACACAAGUGCUAAUACUAUAAGAUUCUUAAGAAAACAUAGGGGGAAAGCUUUAUAACAUUAACUUCAGAUCCAAUUAUUUUUUAUUAUGAAAUAAAAAACAUAAGCAAAAAAAGAAAAAGUAGGCACAUUAAUUUUUUUCAACAUUAAAAACUUUUUAUGUAUCAAAGGACGCUACCAGAGUGAAAAGGCACCCUCUAGAAUGGGAGUAAAUAUUUGCAAAUCAUCUAUCUGAUAUGGGAUUGACAUCUAGAAUUCUAUAUGAGAAUUCUUACAACUGAAAAACAAAACAAUCUGAUUAAAAAUUAGGCAAACAACUUGAUAGACAUUUUACCAUGGGUUUUAAUCUAGGGAUGCAAGGCUGUUAUAAUAUUUGCUUAUCAAUUAAUGUGAUGCAUCAAAGAAACAAAAUG